rnacentral:rRNA from 1 species
CCUACGGCGUGCUGCAGUGGGGAAUAUUGGACAAUGGGCGAAAGCCUGAUCCAGCCAUGCCGCGUGUGUGAAGAAGGCCUUCGGGUUGUAAAGCACUUUCAGUGGGGAAGAAAGCCUUGGGGCUAAUACCCUCGAGGAAGGACAUCACCCACAGAAGAAGCACCGGCUAACUCCGUGCCAGCAGCCGCGGUAAUACGGAGGGUGCGAGCGUUAAUCGGAAUUACUGGGCGUAAAGCGCGCGUAGGCGGUCUGAUAAGCCGGUUGUGAAAGCCCCGGGCUCAACCUGGGAACGGCAUCCGGAACUGUCAGGCUAGAGUGCAGGAGAGGAAGGUAGAAUUCCCGGUGUAGCGGUGAAAUGCGUAGAGAUCGGGAGGAAUACCAGUGGCGAAGGCGGCCUUCUGGACUGACACUGACGCUGAGGUGCGAAAGCGUGGGUAGCAAACAGGAUUAGACACCCUAGUAGUC